UACGUAGGGGGCAAGCGUUGUCCGGAUUUAUUGGGCGUAAAGCGCGUGUAGGCGGCUUUGCAAGUCGGGUGUGAAAGCCCUCAGCUCAACUGAGGAAGUGCGCCCGAAACUGCAGAGCUUGAGUACCGGAGAGGAUGGCGGAAUUCCCCAAGUAGAGGUGAAAUUCGUAGAUAUGGGGAGGAACACCGGUGGCGAAGGCGGCCAUCUGGACGGAUACUGACGCUGAGACGCGAAAGCGUGGGUAGCAAACAGG
rnacentral:rRNA from 1 species